GCGAACGCUGGCGGCAGGCCUAACACCUGCAAGUCGAACGCACUCUUCGGAGUUAGUGGCGGACGGGUGAGUAACACGUGGGAACGUGCCUUUAGGUUCGGAAUAACUCAGGGAAACUUGUGCUAAUACCGAAUGUGCCCUUCGGGGGAAGGAUUUAUCGCCUUUAGAGCGGCCCGCGUCUGAUUAGCUAGUUGGUGAGGUAAAGGCUCACCAAGGCGACGAUCAGUAGCUGGUCUGAGAGGAUGAUCAGCCACAUUGGGACUGAGACACGGCCCAAACUCCUACGGGAGGCAGCAGUGGGGAAUCUUGCGCAAUGGGCGAAAGCCUGACGCAGCCAUGCCGCGUGAAUGAUGAAGGUCUUAGGAUUGUAAAAUUCUUUCACCGGGGACGAUAAUGACGGUACCCGGAGAAGAAGCCCCGGCUAACUUCGUG
rnacentral:rRNA from 1 species